AUUCCUUUAAGUUUCAGUCUUGCGACCGUACUCCCCAGGCGGCAAGCUUAACGGCUUCCCUGCGACACUCCGAUCGCGAUUUGCGACCGGAUCAUCUAGCUUGCAUCGUUUACGGCUGGGACUACCCGGGUAUCUAAUCCGGUUCGCUCCCCCAGCUUUCAUCCCUCACCGUCGAGCGCGUUCUGGUGGACCGCCUUCGCCACUGGUGGUCUUCCACGGAUCAAAGGAUUUUACCCCUACACGUGGAGUACCGUCCACCUCUCCCGCCUCCUAGUCCUGCGGUAUCCUCUGCGGGCCAACGGUUAAGCCGUUGGAUUUGACAGAGGACCUACAGAACAGGCUACGGAUGCUUUAGGCCCAAUAAUCGCCCCGACCACUCGAGGAGCUGGUAUUA
rnacentral:rRNA from 1 species